rnacentral:SRP_RNA from 1 species
ACUGGGCAUGGUGACAUGUUUGUGAUCUUUACUACUAGGGGAGGCUGAGGCUGGUGAAUCAUUUGAGCUCAGGAGCUCUGAGCUACAGGAGGGCUAAAGCUGAUCAGAUGUAAGCACUAAGUUGAGCAUCAUAUAUGCUGAGCCCCUGGGUACAGGGGGACCACCAGGCUGCCUAAGGAGGGGCAAACCAGCUCAGGUUAGAGAUGAAGCAGGUCGAGGUCUUCAUGUUGCUUAGUAGUGGGAUCAGAUCCAUGAGUAUAUUUCCAGUCUGGGUGAGAUGGGGAGAUCUAGCCUCCA